GACAUAGGUCGCAAACGUUAUCCGGAAUUAUUGGGCGUAAAGGAUGCGUAGAUGGUUUCAAUAAGUUACUGGUGGGAAAUCGAGGCUCAACCUCGGUGGAAGUCAGUAAUACUGUUGAACUUGAGUGCAGGAGAGGUUAACGGAACUUUAUGUGGAGCGGUAAAAUGCGUAGAUAUAUGAAAGAACAUCAAUAUGGCGAAGGCAGAUUAACUAUUCUGUUAACUGACG
rnacentral:rRNA from 1 species